AAUCUUGAGAUCACCAGAUUGAUUUCAUUCCUAUGUUCCUUUCCAUAGCUAUCCCUCAUCAGGUGUGUGUGUGUGUGUGUGUGUGUGUGUGUAUGUAUGUAUUGAACCUAGGGCCUCGUGCAUGUGAGGCAAGCACUCUGCCAACUGAGAUAUAUUUCCAGCCCCGACCGGGUUUUCUUUAUUUUUUUUAAAAUUUUUUCAACAUUUAUUCUUCAGUUCUCGGCGGACACAACAUCUUUUGUUUGUAUGUGGUGCUGAGGAUUGAACCCGGGCCGCACGCAUGCCAGGCGAGCGCACUACUGCUUGAGCCACAUCCCAGCCCCGGGUUUUCUUUAAAAGGAGUGACAGGAACCCCAAGACACACUUCUCACUCUAGAGAUGCUCCACAUUCCCUUGAAUGUGAAUCUACUUUCCUAAAUCAACCUCUGUCUAGGUCUCUGGAUAACGCUUGCUUACACUGGUUUUCCACAUGUGAGCCUAGCACCCUGCUAAUCCUGAGUCAGGUUCCCACUUCUCUCUGGGAGCCCCUCAGUCAUUUCUCUGAAAAUACCUCUCCUCCCAUGACAGUACUCUGAAAUACUAUCUGAAAAAUCCUGCCAUCUGGGCAGCCCUGCCGCUGAAAACCCAAUCUGCCUCUGUUUGCUUUGACUGAGUAAACAUUUUGUUAUUGUUUACAUGACAUGCAAUUAUACACCGGGUCACAAGUCUAUUUGUGAUCAUUUGCAUGGUUUCCUAAAUUUACAAGAUGUUUAAUGUUGUUCUUUAAUUUUGGUCGGUCAGUGAUGUUAAACUGUACAGACCUAUUAAAGGCAGAGUCACAUAAUGAUAGUUACCCUACACACCAGGGAUUCUACAUUUUACUUCAAAAAUAAAAGCUAGAUUAAUGUGCAAAGGACUUUUAUGUAACUGCAAUGCUAAUUAUUAUCAGCUUCUUUGAAACUUCAUUGUAUUUAUGUUCACCAAGUGUACAAACCUUCUAAGUUACAAAGUUUAGGAGAACACUGUGUGUGUGUGUGUGUGAGUGUGUUACUGGGGAUUGAACCCAGGGCACUUUACCACUGAGCCACAUCCCCAGCCCUUUUUAUUUUGUAUUUGGAGAUAGGGUCUUGCUAAGUUGCUUAGGGCCUCACUAAAUGUUGAGGGUAACCUGUAACUUAUGAUCCUCUACCUCAGUCCCCUCAGUUUCUACUCAGUUGCUGGGAUUUCAGGCAUGUGCCACUAGCUUGGCUUUAGGAGAACACUUUACCAAGUUGGGGUUUUCCAAGUUAAAAUUGUUAGCAGUGGGGCUGGGGCUAUGGCUCAGCGGUACAACACUCACCUAGCACAUGCGAGGCACCGGGUUUGAUCCUCAGCACCACAUAAAAUAAAUAAAUAAAUAAAAUAAAAGUAUUGUGUCCAACUACAACUAAAAAAAUAUUUUAAAAAAAUUGUUAGCAGUGAUGAUCUUUUUCUGGCUUAUGUUUGUGUGUUCCUAAUUGUUGGGUUGAACACUAGGCAGCGUAUGGGAAAGCUUGCAAUGAGAUUAGGUCUCUAAGAAAAAGAGGUAAUGAGGGAAAUGAGGAUGGGGGCUGGCCACUGUCCUUAUCUGCAGGCCUCAGGAGAAGAUCUAAACAGAGGUCCUGGUUGUCGGUAAAG
rnacentral:lncRNA from 1 species